rnacentral:rRNA from 1 species
AUUGAACGCUGGCGGCAGGCCUAACACAUGCAAGUCGAGCGGAGCGGCGGACGGGUGUGUCAUGCCUAGGAAUCUGCCUGGUAGUGGGGGCUAACGUCCGGAAACGGGCGCUAAUACCGCAUACUAUCAGAUGAGCCUCGGUCGGCUUAGCUAGUUGGUGGGGGAAAGGCCUACCAAGGCGACGAUCCGUAUCUGGUCUGAGAGGAUGAUCAGUCACACUGGAACUGAGAAACGGUCCAGACUCCUACGGGAGGCAGCAGUGGGGAAUAUUGGACAAUGGGCGAAAGCCGGAUCCAGCCAGGCGGCGUGGGGGAAGAAGGUCUUCGGAUUGGAAAGCACUUUAAGUUGGGAGGCGUUACCAACAGAAUAAGCACCGGCUAACUACGUGCCAGCAGCCGCGGUAAUUC